rnacentral:rRNA from 1 species
UACAGAGGUCUCAAGCGUUGUUCGGAUUCAUUGGGCGUAAAGGGUGCGUAGGUGGCGCUGUAAGUCAGGUGUGAAAUUUCGGAGCUUAACUCCGAAACUGCAUUUGAUACUGCGGUGCUUGAGGACUGGAGAGGAGACUGGAAUUUACGGUGUAGCAGUGAAAUGCGUAGAGAUCGUAAGGAAGACCAGUGGCGAAGGCGGGUCUCUGGACAGUACCUGACACUGAGGCACGAAGGCCAGGGGAGCAAACAGG